rnacentral:rRNA from 1 species
UAGGGAAUCUUCGGCAAUGGGGGGAACCCUGACCGAGCAACGCCGCGUGAGUGAAGAAGGUUGUCGGAUCGUAAAGCUCUGUUGUUAAGGAAGAACGAGUGUGAGAAUGGAAAGUUCAUGCUGUGACGGUACUUAACCAGAAAGGGACGGCUAACUACGUGCCAGCAGCCGCGGUAAUACGUAGGUCCCGAGCGUUGUCCGGAUUUAUUGGGCGUAAAGCGAGCGCAGGCGGUUAGAAAAGUCUGAAGUGAAAGGCAGUGGCUCAACCAUUGUAGGCUUUGGAAACUGUUUAACUUGAGUGCAGAAGGGGAGAGUGGAAUUCCAUGUGUAGCGGUGAAAUGCGUAGAUAUAUGGAGGAACACCGGUGGCGAAAGCGGCUCUCUGGUCUGUAACUGACGCUGAGGCUCGAAAGCGUGGGGAGCGAACAGG